rnacentral:rRNA from 1 species
AGAAUCAACGCUGGCGGCGUGCCUCAGACAUGCAAGUCGAACGAUUAAAGCUCCCUUCGGGGAGUGCAUAAAGUGGCGCACGGGUGAGUAACACGUAAGUAAUCUACCCUCGGGUGGGGAAUAACGUUCGGAAACGGACGCUAAUACCGCAUAAUGCAGCGGCACCGCAAGGUGACAGUUGUUAAAGAUUUAUUGCCCGUGGGGAGGAGUCUUGGCGGCAGUAUU